AGCUUAUCAAGAAAGACGGAGGGAAAUGGCCCGUAGAAGUCUUAGCAACCGCCACUAUUGGAAACGGUGCUACAUCCAUCUGCCAGCAGGCGGAAAGAUAAGUG
rnacentral:ncRNA from 2 species